UACGUAGGGUGCAAGCGUUAUCCGGAAUUAUUGGGCGUAAAGAGCUCGUAGGCGGUUUGUCGCGUCUGCUGUGAAAACUGGGGGCUCAACCCCCAGCCUGCAGUGGGUACGGGCAGACUAGAGUGCGGUAGGGGAGACUGGAAUUCCUGGUGUAGCGGUGAAAUGCGCAGAUAUCAGGAGGAACACCGGUGGCGAAGGCGGGUCUCUGGGCCGUAACUGACGCUGAGGAGCGAAAGCAUGGGGGAGCGAACAGG
rnacentral:rRNA from 1 species